rnacentral:misc_RNA from 1 species
GCUUACCCCCCGAACGGAAUUCGACGGUUUCGGUGUCCCCAUCCGCCUUGUGCCCCUUGUGGGUGCGGGGUGGACGUGAGGCGGGCUCCGUGAUCCAGGCAUGCCUGGCAAGUUAUUGCACGGCUGUUGUGGCUCAUGGGGUCUUCGCCCGUUCUCUCGGACGCGGAAUGUUGUGCCUGGGCGUUGGGGCGUUGGCCUCUGUGCGUCCAAGCUUAGCAUUUGUCCCUCGGUGCGAACGACCGCUGCGCCCGUGUUGACCGCCCUCGGUGGCUCAUGCGAGCGUCGGCGUCGCGAAGGAAUGCUACCUGGUUGAUCCUGCCAGU